CCUACGCGAGGCAGCAGUGAGGAAUAUUGGUCAAUGGCCGUAAGGCUUAACCAGCCAAGUCGCGUGAAGGAAGAAGGAUCUAUGGUUUGUAAACUUCUUUUAUAGGGGAAUAAAGGUAUCCACGUGUGGAUAUUUGCAUGUACCCUAUGAAUAAGCAUCGGCUAACUCCGUGCCAGCAGCCGCGGUAAUACGGAGGAUGCGAGCGUUAUCCGGAUUUAUUGGGUUUAAAGGGUGCGUAGGUUGUUUUUUAAGUCAGCGGUGAAAGUUUGUGGCUCAACCAUAAAAUUGCCGUUGAAACUGGAAGACUUGAGUGUGUUUGAGGUAGGCGGAAUGCGUGGUGUAGCGGUGAAAUGCAUAGAUAUCACGCAGAACUCCGAUUGCGAAGGCAGCUUACUAAGCCAUAACUGACACUGAAGCACGAAAGCGUGGGGAUCAAACAGGAUUAGAUACCCCUGUAGUC
rnacentral:rRNA from 1 species